rnacentral:rRNA from 1 species
ACACGACUCUCGGCAACGGAUAUCUCGGCUCUCGCAUCGAUGAAGAACGUAGCGAAAUGCGAUACCUGGUGUGAAUUGCAGAAUCCCGCGAACCAUCGAGUCUUUGAACGCAAGUUGCGCCCGAGGCCAUUCGGCCGAGGGCACGCCCGCCUGGGCGUCACGC